rnacentral:SRP_RNA from 1 species
CUGCACUAGGUGGGGAGCUAGCGGUGCCCUGAACUUGCAAUCCGCUAUAGCAAGAUCGAAGAAUUGACUGCGGCAAUUUCAUUUUGACGGAAUGAGUUAUAACUUUUGCGUUGAAAUCAAGGUCUUAAGCAUUGUUUUGCUGUGAACCAUGUCAGGCCCUGACGGGAGCAUCAUUAAGCAGAUUAAAGCAAGUGAUUUAAGGAAACUUUGGUGGAGCAAAAUUUAUGAUGGCUCGGCAAGGUGGGUUGACAAAUCAAUUGUGCAG